ACCAGUUCUCCCCACAGCUGAGCUCUGUGAGCACCGAGGACACUGCUUCUGACCUUUUCUAGGUCAUCAGAACCAGUAACUCAGGCUUUACCUGACACCCACAGACGUUAUCUAUCUUAUGGUAGAGGAAAACCGAGAUUGAAAGUGACUCAGUCCCUCACAGAGGCCUGCAUUACCAUGUGUCCACACAGAAGCCUCCAUUGUUCUCUAGCAUAUCAUCCAAUGUCAUCUUGCAAGAAACUGAACAAGCAGGCGAAUUUGCCAUCUGUCUUCUUCCCACCCAUGUUACAAUUGGUGCUGAAGGUCUCUUCUGCUUCUGCUUAGAUGGAAGCCCACACGUUCCUUGGGAAGAGAAAGGUUAGGCACCCUUGCAUACCGGGUGCCUCCCCUCUGGGCUGUGCUCUGAGGCAUGAGAAGGCCACUGGCUGCUCUGGGAAAAUCCACCUGCGGGAAGGCUGUGAUUUCUCCAGCAGGAGCACGACAGUCAUGUACAGGGGUCCUGUCCCAGGGCCGCUGCCAGAGUCAAGGCCAGGACUGGAGAAGACUUUGCAGACCCUCUCCCUCUCCUGCUCUGUCUCUGGAAUCUCCUUCAUCAGCAGUUACUUUCGGGCCUGAAUCCGGCAGCCUCCAGGAAGGGGCUGGAGUGGAUGGGCUGCCUCGGCUCCAGUGGUGGCUCACGCCUCGCCUCAGCCCAUCCUUUCAGAGCCGACUCUCCAUCUUCAAAGACACAUUUGUGAACCUGCAGCUGAGCUCUGUGUCCACUGAGGACACAGCCUUGUAUUACUGUGCGAGACUCACAGAAACACACAGAGAGGGCAAGUCAGUGUGAGCCUAGACCCAAGCAUCCCUGCAGGGAGACUGGAGGGGCUGGGAUGCAGGGGAUGCUCAGGACCACAGAGUAUGGGGACCAGCUCGGGAGCAGGUGAAUGGUGGCACAUGUCCUCUGUUACUCUGGUCUGGGGCUUUCUUCUCUGUCCUCUCCCAAGGACUCACUGUCCUCACAUUGUCUUGCACCUUCUUUAACACCUUAGAGGAAGCUGGUUACUGCCUCUGCUCAAUUAUUUAAAAUAGUCAGAGGAGUCCUUACUACUUCCUUCAGUUUGUACUCCAGGAGACACUGCAACAUAUGUCACAAAUUGGGAGAGGCCUUGGGCAGUGACUGGAAGUAUGUAACUGCAGCACCAGGAACCAAUUACCUCAGGCAGUAGUGAAAAUGGGCCAGUCUUCUCUCGUCUGCCUCUGUUGAAUGAAACACACAAGUGCUUUAAUCCAGUGAUAUUAAACAAAUAAAUAGCCUUCUCUUCCCCAGCUAAAACUAAGUUUAUCUGCGAUCAGCAAUGGAUUGCAAUUCACGGUGGGCCUGCUGUGGUGCCCCUUGGGCAAAUCCAGAGAGAGGAAGGAGUGGGCUUGCUGUUAUAGAGAGAAAGGUGGAGUCCGGGCGACUGUUCUAAAUGAAUGUUCAUUGGAGGGAAAGAAAAGGUCAGGGUGGUGAUGGCUUCUCAUUGGCUGAGCUGCAGUGUUUCCACUGGAUGGGUUGUUGCCCAGUGGGGAGAGGAAUCUUCUUUCAACAGUAAAGUUCGUACCUCCUUCUG